UACAGAGGUCUCAAGCGUUGUUCGGAUUCAUUGGGCGUAAAGGGCGCGUAGGCGGCGGGGUCAGUCGGGUGUGAAAUCUUGGGGCUUAACCCCGAAACGGCACUCGAAACUGCCCGGCUGGAGGGCCGGAGAGGAGAUUGGAAUUCCUGGUGUAGCGGUGGAAUGCGCAGAUAUCAGGAGGAACACCGGUGGCGAAGGCGGGUCUCUGGGCCGAAACUGACGCUGAGGAGCGAAAGCGUGGGGAGCAAACAGG
rnacentral:rRNA from 1 species